UUUGGGCACUGUCUCAACGAGAGACUCGGUGAAAUCAUAGUACCUGUGAAGAUGCAGGUUACCCGCGACAGGACGGAAAGACCCCGUGGAGCUUUACUGUAGUCUGAUAUUGAAAUUCGGUACAGCUUGUACAGGAUAGGUAGGAGCCUUAGAUACGUGAGCGCUAGCUUACGUGGAGGCGUUGGUGGGAUACUACCCUCGCUGUAUUGGAUUUCUAACCCGCACCAUUAAUCAUGGUGGGAGACAGUGUCAGAUGGACAGUUUGACUGGGGCGGUCGCCUCCUAAAGAGUAACGGAGGCGCUCAAAGGUUUCCUCAGAAUGGUUGGAAAUCAUUCAUAGAGUGUAAAGGCACAAGGAAGCUUGACUGCGAGACUUACAAGUCGAGCAGGGUCGAAAGACGGACUUAGUGAUCCGGUGGUUCCGCAUGGAAGGGCCAUCGCUCAACGGAUAAAAGCUACCCCGGGGAUAACAGGCUUAUCUCCCCCAAGAGUUCACAUCGACGGGGAGGUUUGGCACCUCGAUGUCGGCUCAUCGCAUCCUGGGGCUGUAGUCGGUCCCAAGGGUUGGGCUGUUCGCCCAUUAAAGCGGUACGCGAGCUGGGUUCAGAACGUCGUGAGACAGUUCGGUCCCUAUCCGUCGUGGGCGUAGGAAAUUUGAGAGGAGCUGUCCUUAGUACGAGAGGACCGGGAUGGACAUACCUCUGGUGUACCAGUUGUCGUGCCAACGGCAUCGCUGGGUAGCUAUGUAUGGACGGGAUAAGUGCUGAAAGCAUCUAAGCAUGAAGCCCCCCUCAAGAUGAGAUUUCCCAACUUCGGUUAUAAGAUCCCUCAAAGAUGAUGAGGUUAAUAGGUUCGAGGUGGAAGCAUAGCGAUAUGUGGAGCUGACGAAUACUAAUCGAUCGAAGACUUAAUCAAAUU
rnacentral:rRNA from 1 species